rnacentral:rRNA from 1 species
ACUUAGGUGUUGUUGGGUAGGGGAGCGUUCUGUAAGCCGUUGAAGGUGACCUGUGAGGGUUGCUGGAGGUAUCAGAAGUGCGAAUGCUGACAUAAGUAACGAUAAUGCGGGUGAAAAACCCGCACGCCGGAAGACCAAGGGUUCCUGUCCAACGUUAAUCGGGGCAGGGUGAGUCGACCCCUAAGGCGAGGCUGAAAAGCGUAGUCGAUGGGAAACAGGUUAAUAUUCCUGUACUUGGUGUUACUGCGAAGGGGGGACGGAGAAGGCUAGGCUGGCCGGGCGACGGUUGUCCCGGUUUAAGCGUGUAGGGGGAGUGACCAGGUAAAUCCGGUUGCUUAUCAACCCUGAGGCGUGAUGACGAUGCACCACGGUGCAGAAGCAGUUGAUGCCAUGCUUCCAGGAAAAGCCUCUAAGCAUCAGGUAACAUUAAAUCGUACCCCAAACCGACACAGGUGGUCAGGUAGAGAAUACUCAGGCGCUUGAGAGAACUCGGGUGAAGGAACUAGGCAAAAUGGUGCCGUAACUUCGGGAGAAGGCACGCUGGCGUUAGGUGAAAGGACUAGCUCCUGGAGCUGAAGCCAGUCGCAGAUACCAGCUGGCUGCAACUGUUUAAUAAAAACACAGCACUGUGCAAACACGAAAGUGGACGUAUACGGUGUGACGCCUGCCCGGUGCUGGAAGGUUAAUUGAUGGGGUCAGCCGCAAGGCGAAGCUCUUGAUCGAAGCCCCAGUAAACGGCGGCCGUAACUAUAACGGUCCUAAGGUAGCGAAAUUCCUUGUCGGGUAAGUUCCGACCUGCACGAAUGGCGUAAUGAUGGCCAGGCUGUCUCCACCCGAGACUCAGUGAAAUUGAACUCGCUGUGAAGAUGCAGUGUACCCGCGGCAAGACGGAAAGACCCCGUGAACCUUUACUAUAGCUUGACACUGAACAUUGAGCCUUGAUGUGUAGGAUAGGUGGGAGGCCUUGAAGUGUGGACGCCAGUCUGCAUGGAGCCAACCUUGAAAUACCACCCUUUAAUGUUUGAUGUUCUAACUCGGCCCCAUGAUCUGGGGUGAGGACAGUGUCUGGUGGGUAGUUUGACUGGGGCGGUCUCCUCCCAAAGAGUAACGGAGGAGCACGAAGGUUAGCUAAUCACGGUCGGACAUCGUGAGGUUAGUGCAAAGGCAUAAGCUAGCUUGACUGCGAGAGUGACGGCUCGAGCAGG